rnacentral:rRNA from 1 species
UGGGGAAUUUUGGACAAUGGGCGCAAGCCUGAUCCAGCAAUGCCGCGUGCAGGAUGAAGGCCUUCGGGUUGUAAACUGCUUUUGUACGGAACGAAAAGCCUCUCUCUAAUACAGGGGGUGAUGACGGUACCGUAAGAAUAAGCACCGGCUAACUACGUGCCAGCAGCCGCGGUAAUACGUAGGGUGCAAGCGUUAAUCGGAAUUACUGGGCGUAAAGCGUGCGCAGGCGGUUUUGUAAGACAGUGGUGAAAUCCCCGGGCUCAACCUGGGAACUGCCAUUGUGACUGCAAGGCUGGAGUGCGGCAGAGGGGGAUGGAAUUCCGCGUGUAGCAGUGAAAUGCGUAGAUAUGCGGAGGAACACCGAUGGCGAAGGCAAUCCCCCGGGCCUGCACUGACGCUCAUGCACGAAAGCGUGGGGAGCAAACAGGAUUAGAUACCCUGGUAGUCCACGCCCUAAACGAUGUCAACUGGUUGUUGGGGAUUUAUUUCUUCAGUAAACGAAGCUAACGCGUGAAGUUGACCNCCUGGGGGAGUNCGGCCGCAAGGUUAAAAACUCAAAGGAAUUGACGGGGUCAUAGCUGUUUCCU